rnacentral:tRNA from 2 species
GGGCCCUUAGCUCAAUUGGAUAGAGCAUUUGACUACGGAUCAAAAGGUUGGGGGUUCGAGUCCCUCAGGGCCCG